CCUACGGGGGGCUGCAGUGGGGAAUAUUGGACAAUGGGCGAAAGCCUGAUCCAGCCAUGCCGCGUGUGUGAAGAAGGCCUUCGGGUUGUAAAGCACUUUCAGUGGGGAAGAAAGCCUUGGGGCUAAUACCCUCGAGGAAGGACAUCACCCACAGAAGAAGCACCGGCUAACUCCGUGCCAGCAGCCGCGGUAAUACGGAGGGUGCGAGCGUUUAUCGGAAUUACUGGGCGUAAAGCGCGCGUAGGCGGUCUGAUAAGCCGGUUGUGAAAGCCCCGGGCUCAACCUGGGAACGGCAUCCGGAACUGUCAGGCUAGAGUGCAGGAGAGGAAGGUAGAAUUCCCGGUGUAGCGGUGAAAUGCGUAGAGAUCGGGAGGAAUACCAGUGGCGAAGGCGGCCUUCUGGACUGACACUGACGCUGAGGUGCGAAAGCGUGGGUAGCAAACAGGAUUAGAUACCCUAGUAGUC
rnacentral:rRNA from 1 species